rnacentral:rRNA from 1 species
UGCUCAGGAUGAACGCUAGCGGCAGGCUUAACACAUGCAAGUCGAGGGGUAGCAGGGAGCUUGCUCCGCUGACGACCGGCGAACGGGUGCGUAACGCGUAUAGAAUCUACCUCUUACUAAGGGAUAGCCCAGAGAAAUUUGGAUUAAUAUCUUAUAGUAUGUUAACUUGGCAUCAAGAUAACAUUAAAGGUUACGGUAAGAGAUGACUAUGCGUCCUAUUAGCUAGAUGGUGUGGUAACGGCACACCAUGGCAACGAUAGGUAGGGGCCCUGAGAGGGGGAUCCCCCACACUGGUACUGAGACACGGACCAGACUCCUACGGGAGGCAGCAGUGAGGAAUAUUGGACAAUGGAGGCAACUCUGAUCCAGCCAUGCCGCGUGCAGGAAGACUGCCCUAUGGGUUGUAAACUGCUUUUAUACAGGAAGAAACACUCUCACGUGUGAGAGCUUGACGGUACUGUAAGAAUAAGGAUCGGCUAACUCCGUGCCAGCAGCCGCGGUAAUACGGAGGAUCCAAGCGUUAUCCGGAAUCAUUGGGUUUAAAGGGUCCGUAGGUGGAUAAUUAAGUCAGAGGUGAAAUCCUGCAGCUCAACUGUAGAAUUGCCUUUGAUACUGGUUGUCUUGAGUUAUUAUGAAGUAGUUAGAAUAUGUAGUGUAGCGGUGAAAUGCAUAGAUAUUACAUAGAAUACCAAUUGCGAAGGCAGAUUACUAAUAAUAUACUGACACUGAUGGACGAAAGCGUGGGGAGCGAACAGGAUUAGAUACCCUGGUAGUCCACGCCGUAAACGAUGGUCACUAGCUGUUCGAACUUCGGUUUGAGUGGCUAAGCGAAAGUGAUA